AAAUAGAUAACUUUCCUAAUCCCUAACUCAUUCACGUUGCCUUUCACCAUUUUUUUCCCUUUUUUUGAAUCUAGUUUCUUUCAAUUGUUACUCUGGAGAAUUGAUAUUGUACCACCCUCUUGUCGAUGCUUCUCCUUCCGACGCACCUUCCACCAGGAUAAGCUGCUACUUCUAGAUCUGGACACGAUGAUGAUAAAGGAAGCAUGAAUCUCAAAGAAUCUCUUUUCUUCUUUACAAUCAGGUCUCCAGUAGCUUAUCUGAAAUAGCUAAAGGGGAAAUCCCUUCAAGCACCAUCAUGUCAUUUGUUUCUCCAUGCCACAACUCUAUGUCUGCUUUGAGUGGCCUCCUUACUGCUGCUGCUAUUGAGAAGAUUUCGUCUUUUGCAAAAAAAUUUGGAGGAAGAUCUGGCAUUGAAAUCCAUGCUACUGCUAUUGAAGUUUCAACAUCAGCUUCAAACCAUGGAUCCCACUUCAAAAUUCUCAUUUGCCAAUAUCUCUCCCUCGAAUUGAUGUAAAAGGCUGUUGUCGAUAAACAUAAUCUUCUAGCAUCUCUAGACUUAUUAAUAUAUGUCUUUCAUCCAUUACUCCUAUAGUACAUUGACCUUUGAUUCCACACUGGUUAGGAAUCAUUUUUCUCAGUACAUCGAUGUGAGGGUUGCCAUACAAAAAUUUUCCUAUAAUCGCAUAUUGAAGUUUUUCUUGUA